ensembl:lncRNA
AGUAGCCAGAGGUGGGAUUGGAACCCAGGAGUUCUGGUCCAGAGUUCGCUAAUGAGCCAUUAAUGCUACAUUUUGCUGCUUGGACGCCGUCUUCAUCCCCGCCCUGUCGUGCAGUUUGGAUGUUAUUCCAGGAGUCUUCUUCUAGAUCCCCAGAGCCUGUCUCUGGAAACGAAGCUGAAAAUAGAAACAUCAAAACAACAAGCCAUUCCAGCUCUAAGUGCCAUAGUAAACAAAUGGUCCAAUGUUGCUCCGACGGUUUAAUUGCAGCAGCUCCAGACAAGCUCAUUCAUGAAGCAUCUUCAGUUGAUGAAGAGGAGGAGUGAGACUUUGGGGGAAGGGGUGGCUUGUGGCUAUCUCUGAGGAAGGAUCUGAACUGCCAUCCCAG